UGCCAUUUGUCCCGUGUCUUCAGUGCCAA
rnacentral:piRNA from 1 species